rnacentral:rRNA from 1 species
GACGAACGCUGGCGGCGUGCUUAACACAUGCAAGUCGAGCGGUAAGGCCUUUCGGGGUACACGAGCGGCGAACGGGUGAGUAACACGUGGGUGAUCUGCCCUGCACUUCGGGAUAAGCCUGGGAAACUGGGUCUAAUACCGGAUAUGACCUCCUAUCGCAUGGUGGGUGGUGGAAAGAUUUAUCGGUGCAGGAUGGGCCCGCGGCCUAUCAGCUUGUUGGUGGGGUAAUGGCCUACCAAGGCGACGACGGGUAGCCGACCUGAGAGGGUGACCGGCUACACUGGGACUGAGACACGGCCCAGACUCCUACGGGAGGCAGCAGUGGGGAAUAUUGCACAAUGGGCGAAAGCCUGAUGCAGCGACGCCGCGUGAGGGAUGACGGCCUUCGGGUUGUAAACCUCUUUCAGCAGGGACGAAGCGCAAGUGACGGUACCUGCAGAAGAAGCACCGGCUAACUACGUG